rnacentral:rRNA from 1 species
UACGUAGGUGGCGAGCGUUGUCCGGAUUUAUUGGGUUUAAAGGGUGCGUAGGCGGCCCUGUAAGUCAGCGGUGAAAUACGGCAGCUCAACUGUCGAGGUGCCGUUGAUACUGCGGGGCUUGAGUGUUGAUGAGGCAGGCGGAAUUGACGGUGUAGCGGUGAAAUGCUUAGAUAUCGUCAAGAACACCUAUAGCGAAGGCAGCUUACUAGGCUGUAACUGACGCUGAGGCACGAAAGUGUGGGGAUCAAACAGG